rnacentral:lncRNA from 1 species
GUUUGGCCCAGCCAGGCCCUAGCAGUGCUGUUUCCCAUCAAGGGGCCGGGCGGGGCGGCUGCGGCUCCCUCCGGCCAGGGGUGAGGGUCUGAGUCAGCCCAAGUCAGGAGGCAAAUAACUGCACUUAAUGGUGUGAUCAGCGCUUGACCGACUCAGCCCCAGGCCCUGUGCACGGACUUUCUACAGAGUUACUCAAUCUCGUGAAAUAAGAACAAUCACGAACACCCAUUUUAAAGGCGAGGAAGCCGAGACCCUCUUGGAGAGGCAACGCAACGUGCCCAAAGUUAGGAGGCUCCUGGGAAGCCUGCUGGUCUGAGUGCCGCGCCUGGGGCCACAGGGCUGCAGGGCUGGGCCCACCUGACUGCUCCGGUCACCCCCUGUGCCGCUGGAAUCAGGAGGGCUUCCUGCAGAGAAGGAGACCCCGCACACGUCAUGCAGCUGCUCCCAGUUCUGCAACCCCCCUACCCCAGGCUGCUUUCCAUCUCCAUAGAGUCAUCUACCCUGAAUGCUUCAUUCUUCUCCUAGCAUGUGUUAGUAAAAUGGUUUUUAUUUUUAUUUAUUUGAGAGAGAGAGAGAAAAUGAUCGGGGUAGGGGCAGAGAGAGAAGCAGGCUCCCUGCUGAGCAGGAUCAUGACCUCAGCCAAAGGCAGACGCUUGACAGACUGAGCCACCCAGGCACCCUGGUAAAAUGAUUUUUAAAUGAUCUGUAUUACAACCAGAAAGGGAAAACAAGUAUUCAUUUCUACAGAUGGAAAGUAACCUUAAAAACAAUGAUCACAGGGCGCCUGGGUGGCUCCUUGGGUUAAAGCCUCUGCCUUCGGCUCAGGUCAUGAUCCCAGGAUUCUAGGAUCUAGCCCCACAUCGGGCUCUCUGCUCAGCAGGGAGCCUGCUUCCUCCUCUCUCUCUCUCUCUCUCUCUCCUC